UAAUACAAUUGUGCAAAUCCAACAUGAAAGAAUGUACAUAUUAUAUUAUUAAACAUGCUGAAGAAUUCUAUAGAUAAAUAAAAGUAGAGAAUUGGUUAAUCUGUACUAAAAAAGGCAAGAUGGUAAAGAAAAUGGCAAUAAAGAAGCAGAAGAAGAAACCACAACUUAUGGUGAAGAGAAAUGGUUGCAUGCUGGAAAAAUAAAUUGUCAUAUGAAAAAGAGAAACGGUCGCAUGGAGAAGAUAACUUUCAUAUGGGAAAGAGAAACGGUCACAUUGGAAAGAUAAAAUAUCAUAUAAAAUUAUGGCGAAGAGAAACGGUUGCAUGGCCGGAAAAAUAAAUUGUCAUAUGGAAAAGAGAAACGGUCGCAUGGAGAAGAUAACUUCCAUAUGGAAAAGAAAAACGGUCACAUUGGAAAGAUAAAAUGUCAUACGAAAUAGAGAAACGGUUGAAGAAAGAGGAGAGGUCGAUUCAAAGAGAGCAAAAGAUAAAAUGUCAUAUGAAAAAGAGAAACGGUUGAAGGAAGAGGAGAGGUCGGUUCAAAGAGAGCAAAAAAAUAUAUAAAAUCUAAAAAAAGGAGGGCUUGCCAUGUCAUCAUUUUUAUUGGGAAUUCAUAUAGAGAUAUAGAUUCAUACUAAAAGAAACAUAGAAAGGUAUGGAUUUAUAGAGUUGAGCUAGCAAAUGGGCUCCGUUGUCACCAAUUUGUUUUCAAUAAUGAAGCCUCCAAAUCGACGAUCAGCAUCGUUGAACAUAAUCUAUACCACUUAAGGCAUCUAGAAAUCAAAUUUUAUGUCUUUUCAACAUCAUUGGCCUAAUGAUUAAAGGGUUUCAAAAUUUAUAAUUUUAGUUGUCGAUACAAGACGCUUUCUUGUUUAUCGGCGUAAAGAUAUCCAAAUCAAUUGAAUUUUGGUUUAGAAAUUCUUUAAACUAUUUAGAAAAAGAUCUAUACUCUUGAUCUGGAUUACAAAACUCCUAUCAUCACAUUUUAAAGGAUAUUCAUUUUUAGCCGUUCAUUUUUGUAUCCACUUGAUGGACAAGAGAACAAUAUCAAAAAGACAUAAAAUUUAAUUUCUAAAUACUUCAAGUGGUACAGAUCAUAUUUAAUGGUGCCAAUUAUUGAUUUGAAGGCUCCAUCAUCAAAAAUAAAUGGGUGGCAACGAAGCCCGCUUGCUGCAAAUAGUAUUCUAGCUCAAUUCUGAAUUUAUAUUCUUAUUUUUCUUCUUCUGACUCUUAAUAAAAGAGUAAUUCACCAUGACAAUUUUCUCAAAACAAUCCAAAUGCUUUUUAUUUGCCUUCUAACAUUUGACCAAUGUUGAAAGGAUGGAGUGGAAGGGUGAAAAAGUAGAUAUUCAGAAAGUAAUAUAAAAAUAUUAUAAUUAACGAUGUGGCAAUAAAUAAAAUUCUUUGUUA
rnacentral:lncRNA from 1 species